GGGUUGUGAGGUUAAGCGACUAAGCGUACACGGUGGAUGCCCUGGCAGUCAGAGGCGAUGAAGGACGUGCUAAUCUGCGAUAAGCGUCGGUAAGGUGAUAUGAACCGUUAUAACCGGCGAUUUCCGAAUGGGGAAACCCAGUGUGUUUCGACACACUAUCAUUAACUGAAUCCAUAGGUUAAUGAGGCGAACCGGGGGAACUGAAACAUCUAAGUACCCCGAGGAAAAGAAAUCAACCGAGAUUCCCCCAGUAGCGGCGAGCGAACGGGGAGCAGCCCAGAGCCUGAAUCAGUGUGUGUGUUAGUGGAAGCGUCUGGAAAGGCGCGCGAUACAGGGUGACAGCCCCGUACACAAAAAUGCACAUACUGUGAGCUCGAUGAGUAGGGCGGGACACGUGGUAUCCUGUCUGAAUAUGGGGGGACCAUCCUCCAAGGCUAAAUACUCCUGACUGACCGAUAGUGAACCAGUACCGUGAGGGAAAGGCGAAAAGAACCCCGGCGAGGGGAGUGAAAAAGAACCUGAAACCGUGUACGUACAAGCAGUGGGAGCCUCUUUAUGGGGUGACUGCGUACCUUUUGUAUAAUGGGUCAGCGACUUAUAUUCUGUAGCAAGGUUAACCGAAUAGGGGAGCCGAAGGGAAACCGAGUCUUAACUGGGCGUUAAGUUGCAGGGUAUAGACCCGAAACCCGGUGAUCUAGCCAUGGGCAGGUUGAAGGUUGGGUAACACUAACUGGAGGACCGAACCGACUAAUGUUGAAAAAUUAGCGGAUGACUUGUGGCUGGGGGUGAAAGGCCAAUCAAACCGGGAGAUAGCUGGUUCUCCCCGAAAGCUAUUUAGGUAGCGCCUCGUGAAUUCAUCUCCGGGGGUAGAGCACUGUUUCGGCAAGGGGGUCAUCCCGACUUACCAACCCGAUGCAAACUGCGAAUACCGGAGAAUGUUAUCACGGGAGACACACGGCGGGUGCUAACGUCCGUCGUGAAGAGGGAAACAACCCAGACCGCCAGCUAAGGUCCCAAAGUCAUGGUUAAGUGGGAAACGAUGUGGGAAGGCCCAGACAGCCAGGAUGUUGGCUUAGAAGCAGCCAUCAUUUAAAGAAAGCGUAAUAGCUCACUGGUCGAGUCGGCCUGCGCGGAAGAUGUAACGGGGCUAAACCAUGCACCGAAGCUGCGGCAGCGACACUAUGUGUUGUUGGGUAGGGGAGCGUUCUGUAAGCCUGUGAAGGUGUGCUGUGAGGUAUGCUGGAGGUAUCAGAAGUGCGAAUGCUGACAUAAGUAACGAUAAAGCGGGUGAAAAGCCCGCUCGCCGGAAGACCAAGGGUUCCUGUCCAACGUUAAUCGGGGCAGGGUGAGUCGACCCCUAAGGCGAGGCCGAAAGGCGUAGUCGAUGGGAAACAGGUUAAUAUUCCUGUACUUGGUGUUACUGCGAAGGGGGGACGGAGAAGGCUAUGUUGGCCGGGCGACGGUUGUCCCGGUUUAAGCGUGUAGGCUGGUUUUCCAGGCAAAUCCGGAAAAUCAAGGCUGAGGCGUGAUGACGAGGCACUACGGUGCUGAAGCAACAAAUGCCCUGCUUCCAGGAAAAGCCUCUAAGCAUCAGGUAACAUCAAAUCGUACCCCAAACCGACACAGGUGGUCAGGUAGAGAAUACCAAGGCGCUUGAGAGAACUCGGGUGAAGGAACUAGGCAAAAUGGUGCCGUAACUUCGGGAGAAGGCACGCUGAUAUGUAGGUGAAGUCCCUUGCGGAUGGAGCUGAAAUCAGUCGAAGAUACCAGCUGGCUGCAACUGUUUAUUAAAAACACAGCACUGUGCAAACACGAAAGUGGACGUAUACGGUGUGACGCCUGCCCGGUGCCGGAAGGUUAAUUGAUGGGGUUAGCGGUAACGCGAAGCUCUUGAUCGAAGCCCCGGUAAACGGCGGCCGUAACUAUAACGGUCCUAAGGUAGCGAAAUUCCUUGUCGGGUAAGUUCCGACCUGCACGAAUGGCGUAAUGAUGGCCAGGCUGUCUCCACCCGAGACUCAGUGAAAUUGAACUCGCUGUGAAGAUGCAGUGUACCCGCGGCAAGACGGAAAGACCCCGUGAACCUUUACUAUAGCUUGACACUGAACAUUGAGCCUUGAUGUGUAGGAUAGGUGGGAGGCUUUGAAGUGUGGACGCCAGUCUGCAUGGAGCCGACCUUGAAAUACCACCCUUUAAUGUUUGAUGUUCUAACGUUGGCCCCUAAUCGGGGUUGCGGACAGUGUCUGGUGGGUAGUUUGACUGGGGCGGUCUCCUCCUAAAGAGUAACGGAGGAGCACGAAGGUUGGCUAAUCCUGGUCGGACAUCAGGAGGUUAGUGCAAUGGCAUAAGCCAGCUUGACUGCGAGCGUGACGGCGCGAGCAGGUGCGAAAGCAGGUCAUAGUGAUCCGGUGGUUCUGAAUGGAAGGGCCAUCGCUCAACGGAUAAAAGGUACUCCGGGGAUAACAGGCUGAUACCGCCCAAGAGUUCAUAUCGACGGCGGUGUUUGGCACCUCGAUGUCGGCUCAUCACAUCCUGGGGCUGAAGUAGGUCCCAAGGGUAUGGCUGUUCGCCAUUUAAAGUGGUACGCGAGCUGGGUUUAGAACGUCGUGAGACAGUUCGGUCCCUAUCUGCCGUGGGCGCUGGAGAACUGAGGGGGGCUGCUCCUAGUACGAGAGGACCGGAGUGGACGCAUCACUGGUGUUCGGGUUGUCAUGCCAAUGGCACUGCCCGGUAGCUAAAUGCGGAAGAGAUAAGUGCUGAAAGCAUCUAAGCACGAAACUUGCCCCGAGAUGAGUUCUCCCUGACCCUUUAAGGGUCCUGAAGGAACGUUGAAGACGACGACGUUGAUAGGCCGGGUGUGUAAGCGCAGCGAUGCGUUGAGCUAACCGGUACUAAUGAACCGUGAGGCUUAACCUUACAACGCCGAAG
rnacentral:rRNA from 1 species